UUGAGUUGUGGGUGAUUAUUUUUGGGGUUAGUGUUUGUUGCACCUGUCAGAACUGUUGGUUGAUCGUUUUUGUUCGUGUAUUCAUUCUGGAUUAAAAGUAUUAUGGAUAGGUGAUGCACUUUGGUCCUCCUCUCCUUCUACCAACGAAAAUCAUUGAAUUACUUCAACUUUGGAAACCUUUUAUGUUGACAAUCUUUCAAUGUGCAGGUCAUCUGUGAGUCACAUUUGGCUUUGUUGAAUGUAGCAACCAAAUGGCCAGGUGGGACACAUGAUUCAUUCAUUGUGCAGAACUGUUCAGUCGGCCUUAACCUCCAGGAAGGCGCUGUUGAGGAUGGAUGGCUUAUUGGAGACUGGGGCUAGCCAUGAAAAACAAGGCUGACUCCCCUCACAAACCGCCUCAAACCAACGAGGCAAGGUACCACCAACCCCAGGGACGCACAAGAACAGUGGAGUGCACCAUAGGCCUGCUGAAAGGGUAUUGGCUGUGCUUGUCUGGGACAGGAGGCACAUCGCGAUACAAACUCUGCAAUGUCUGCCUCUGAAAUGACAUUCCUUCAAAUGCCAUUACGUGAAUGUAAUACAAUGUGCAAAUUCCUUUUUAGGUUUGCUACAUUGUCAAGGCUUGCAGUGUGCUCCACAACGUUGCAAUCAAAAACUGAAUGAUCCACCCAGACCUGACGAGCCCAUGCCUGACAGGGAGUGUUUCCCACCACCCAUAGCUCUCUCCCAUAGAGUCAAUAUCAUACAACAGUUUUAGUUUUCUUCCAAAUAUUGUAAUUAAAGUAAUAAGUAUGACACAAUCAACUUCUUUCAAUGAUUUAUUUAUCUCAGGCCAUUGCAUACAUCCUCCAGCUGCUGUUUAAGUCCAAGAAUCUCUUGUUGUUUCAGGACUGCGCCAGUCAUAACAUGCGGUGCAGCUGAAGCGCUCGCCAAAGAGAACCUUCUUGUAGGCCUGGGGAUGGCUAAGGGGUCAGGCAAAUCACCCACAUCCAAAGAUUUCAUGUUUGUUUUUUAUAUUCAUUUUUUUCAAAUAUUUAGAUGUGUUCAUGGUUGUGAAAAUAAAACUGGACUUACUAUCA